GUUUAUUGGAGGUCACAGUCCAAGGCACAGAUAAACACAUCUCUGGAUAGUGUUGAAUUAUCUGAAGCUUGGAAAAUCCACCUCACUAACAGUAGACGCCUGUGACGGAACAUCUAAUCAGUGGAAAAUAAAACAUCUGCAAAGAAGCCAAACCCUUUCAAAAAAUUUUCAUCUGAAUGACAUCUGCAAUCCGUCGAGAGGUCAAGACAAGACAGCCGGUCUGUGAUGUGGGGACAUCCAUUCCUGUCGAGUCUUUUGGGAAGAUGUGCAGCCGGCAGAUGUUGUGGAGGGAGAACAGUAUUCUGGCUAUGUGGAGCAUCUGGGAGUAGCGUAGCAGGGAUUUCUGGCCGUCCACGUGCCUCAACAUGUAUCUACCCUCAUUCCCCAUGCCUCACUGGGAGAAAGGCUUGGGGGUGGUGAUAAAGCUCAUUGUACAUUGGGGUAUAAAUCCAACAAGCUCUUCGUCUGACACAGCAUGACAACCAUGCAUGCUUAAUGACCUCCUCCCCCCUAGGCAUCUGUGACAAUCUGUGCAUUCAACUGUCUCUGAAACGCACCCAGCGCAAGAUUUGGCCGCCAAUUUGGCUAAAGCAAGCUCUUUUUUUCACUUUCAAGUGAGCCAUUAGAUUUGUCAUCUUGAGCCACUAUGAAUCUGUGGGUUAUUAUGCCAUCCUGCAUCAAAACAUCUGGUCUCAUCCAAGAGUUUCAUUAAUUUUUCACACAAAAAUAAGGUGGAACCCUAAUUUUUCCAAACUGAAUUUUCUUUCACACACCAGGGG